GCAUGUCUGAGUACAGACCGAUCUAAGGUGAAACCGCGAAUGGCUCAUUAAAUCAGUCGUAAUUUCUUGGAUAGUGAAAAACUUUCCUCGGAUAACUGUGGAAAAUCCAGAGCUAAUACGUGCAACUGAGCUCCGACCUCGGCGAGAGCCUUGGGAAGAGCGCAUUUAUUAGAUUCAAAACUGACCGGUGUACUCCUUCGGGAUACGCCGUUUGUCAAAUGUUUGAUGACUCCGGAUAACUUAGCCGAGCGCUACGGUCUCUGUGCCGGCGCCGUAUCUUUCAAGUGUCUGCCUUAUCAGCUUUCGAUUGUAGGUUAAACGCCUACAAUGGCUGUAACGGGUAACGGGGAAUCAGGGUUCGAUUCCGGAGAGGGAGCCUGAGAAACGGCUACCACAUCUAAGGAAGGCAGCAGGCACGCAAAUUACCCACUCCCAGCCCGGGGAGGUAGUGACGAAAAAUAACGAUGCGAGACUCUUCCGAGGCCUCGCAAUCGGAAUGAGUCCAUCCUAAAUCUUUGGACGAGGAUCCAUUGGAGGGCAAGUCUGGUGCCAGCAGCCGCGGUAAUUCCAGCUCCAAUAGCGUAUAUUAAAGUUGCUGCGGUUAAAAAGCUCGUAGUUGGACUUUCUAGAUCCAUUUCGUGGGUGAGUCGCUCGUCGCUCUGGAGUGUCGCGUCAGUCACUAGAUAACUUUGCGUUUCGGCGUAUGUUUACUAAGGCUAGCCGGGUCGGUGUGCGUUCGUGAUUAUUCUAUAAUAGCGCGGGCGUUGCAUCGGCUUUGUGCCUACCGAUAGGAGCAACGUGGGUUCGCGAUGACCAACCUUCUAGCGGACGGCGACUCUCUGUCUUCGAGUAUAGCUCGCCCGCGUUUGGUACAAUUAAAAUUUUGUCGGCUCGCUCGGAGUGCUCUUUACCGAGUGUUCCAGGGUGGCCGACACGUUCACUUUGAAAAAAUUAGAGUGCUUAAAGCGGGCUUUAACACGGCCGGAAUGUCUGUGCAUGGAAUGAAGUAACAGGACCUCGAUUCUGUUCUUUUUGUCGGUUUUAAUGAACCGAGGUAAUGAUUAAAAGGGACAGACGGUGGCAUUAGUAUUGCGGCGCUAGAGGUGAAAUUCUUGGACCGUCGCAAGACUAACUACUGCGAAAGCAUUUGCCGAGAAUGUUUUCAUUAAUCAAGAACGAAAGUUAGAGGAUCGAAGGCGAUCAGAUACCGCCCUAGUUCUAACCCUAAACUAUGCUAACUAGCGAUCCGCCGAAGUCAUUCCCACGACUCGGCGGGAAGCCCCAGGGAAACCAAAGUCUUUGAGUUCCGGGGGAAGUAUGGUUGCAAAGCUGAAACUUAAAGGAAUUGACGGAAGGGCACCACCAGGAGUGGAGCCUGCGGCUUAAUUUGACUCAACACGGGAAACCUCACCAGGCCCGGACAUCAUAAGGAUUGACAGAUUGAGAGCUCUUUCUCGAUUUGAUGGGUGGUGGUGCAUGGCCGUUCUUAGUUGGUGGAGUGAUCUGUCUGGUUGAUUCCGAUAACGAACGAGACUCUACCCUACUAACUAGUCGGCGGAUCGUAACCCUGAGAUGGUUAGUUUGUAUAGGAGAGUUCUGCCGAGGCUGAGCGCUUUCGAUGACGGGUCUUCUUUUCAAAGGGACAUCUGGGCGACUGGGUGUUUUCUAAGAGGGGAGCUUCCCUGUCGAGAGUUGCGAUGUCGAAGCUGCUUUCUGAUUACUACUACUGCUGGGGGCGUCCGUCGCAAUGUAUCUUCUUAGAGGGAUCAGCGGCGUCUAGCCGCACGAGAAAGAGCAAUAACAGGUCUGUGAUGCCCUUAGAUGUUCUGGGCCGCACGCGCGCUACAAUGUAGGGCCCAGCGUGCUUUCCCUCUCCGAAAGGAGCGGGUAACCCGUUGAAACCCCUACCCGAUUGGGAUUGGGGAUUGCAAAUAUUUCCCAUAAACGAGGAAUUCCCAGUAAGCGCGAGUCAUUAGUUCGCGCUGAUUACGUCCCUGCCCUUUGUACACACCGCCCGUCGCUACUACCGAUUGAAUGAUUCAGUGAGGGCAUCGGACUGGCGCCUUCGGUUUAGUAACAUAGACCUUAGGCUGACGGAAAGAUGU
rnacentral:rRNA from 1 species